GACGAACGCUGGCGGCGUGCUUAACACAUGCAAGUCGAACGAUGAUGCCCAGCUUGCUGGGUGGAUUAGUGGCGAACGGGUAAGUAACAUGUGAGUAACCUGCCCCUGACUCUGGGAUAAGCGUUGGAAACGACGUCUAAUACUGGAUAUGAUCACUGGCCGCAUGGUCUGGUGGUGGAAAGAUUUUUUGGUUGGGGAUGGACUCGCGGCCUAUCAGCUUGUUGGUGAGGUAAUGGCUCACCAAGGCGACGACGGGUAGCCGGCCUGAGAGGGUGACCGGCCACACUGGGACUGAGACACGGCCCAGACUCCUACGGGAGGCAGCAGUGGGGAAUAUUGCACAAUGGGCGAAAGCCUGAUGCAGCAACGCCGCGUGAGGGAUGACGGCCUUCGGGUUGUAAACCUCUUUUAGUAGGGAAGAAGCGAAAGUGACGGUACCUGCAGAAAAAGCACCGGCUAACUACGUGCCAGCCGCCGCCGUAA
rnacentral:rRNA from 1 species